CAGGCCUUCAGAACGCGUUGACUCUCCAAACACACACACCCACACUCUCUCUCUCUCUCUCUCUCGCUGAAGAGCCCAGCAUCUAUGGCAUAAGCAUCCUCCUCCUCAUCUUCCCAUCAGCGCGUGCACGAGCGCUCAGCAUCAUCACUGACAGCAGCGCGAGGGAUUCUCACACAAUGAAAGAAACGCGCGCAGCUUCAUCUGAAGGUGGCGUGUGAUUUAGAGGAGAAAAGCGCACGACUGUCCUAUAUGAUGUGCAUCGAUCAGAGACGCUGUGUGGUGUUCUCCAGCUUUCCGUGAGCAGAAGUGUCUCUCGUUCUCCCGCUCCGUUCUGUGAUGAUGUCGCGAUACCAUCAGCGUUUUGAGCGGAAUUUCCGCAGCGUGUGGGAGCGGAGGGAACACUGCGCCUCCAACAGCAGCUGCGGCGGCACCGUUAACGGCUGCAUUUCCACCUCUGCCUCCUCCGUCCCCAACAGUGGCAACAACCGUCCCGGCCUCCUGCCCCUGCCCGUCAUCCCCUCGCUGCUGCCCACCCCUGUCACCGGGGCAACCAGCACGGCCAACAGUGAGCUGACCUGCAAGCGAUUAGCCUCCACCUGCACCACCUCAGCGAA